ACUGCUCAGUAACACGUGGCUAACCUACCUUUAGGACGGGGACAACCCCGGGAAACUGGGGCUAAUACCCGAUAGGUGAGGACGUCUGGAAUGGCCCUUCACCCAAAGGAUGUUGCAACCAUGCACGCCAUGUCGCCUAAAGAUGGGGCCGCGACCGAUCAGGCAGUUGGCGAGAUAAAGGCUCACCAAACCUAUAACCGGUACGGGCCGUGAGAGCGGGAGCCCGGAGAUGGGCACUGAGACAAGGGCCCAGGUCCUACGGGGCGCAGCAGUUACGAAACCUCGCCAAUGCGCGAAAGCGUGAGCGGGCUACCCCGAGUGCUAUCCGCUGAGGACGGCUUUUCCCUAGCGUAAUGAACUGGGGGAAUAAGGAGAGGGCAAGACUGGUGUCAGCCGCCGCGGUAAUACCAGCUCUCCGAGUGGUAGGGAUGAUUAUUGGGCUUAAAGCGUCCGUAGCUGGCUUGGCAAGUCUCUCGUUAAAUCCAACGACUUAAUCGCUGGACUGCGAGAGCUACUGUUAGGCUAGGAGGCGGGAGAGGUCGACGGUAUUCCUGGGGUAGGGGUGAAAUCCUAUAAUCCCGGGAGGACCACCAGUGGCGAAGGCUGUCGGCUAGAACGCGCUCGACAGUGAGGGACGAAAGCUGGGGGAGCGAACCGGAUUAGAUACCCGGGUAGUCCCAGCUGUAAACGAUGCGGGCUAGGUGUUGGGGUGGCCACGAGCCACUUCAGUGCCGCAGCGAAGGCAUUAAGCCCGCCGCCUGGGGAGUACGGCCGCAAGGCUGAACUUAAAGGAAUUGGCGGGGGAGCAC
rnacentral:rRNA from 1 species